rnacentral:rRNA from 1 species
UACGAAGGGGGCUAGCGUUGCUCGGAAUUACUGGGCGUAAAGGGCGCGUAGGCGGAUAGUUCAGUUGGGGGUGAAAGCCCGGAGCUCAACUCCGGAACUGCCAUUGAAACUGUUUAGCUUGAGGACGAGAGAGGUGAGUGGAAUUCCGAGUGUAGAGGUGAAAUUCGUAGAUAUUCGGAAGAACACCAGUGGCGAAGGCGGCUCACUGGACAUGUAUUGACGCUGAGGUGCGAAAGCGUGGGGAGCAAACAGG